GUACACGCUGUGACUAGCAUAUCAAUAAGCGGAGGAAAAGAAACUAACAAGGAUUCCCCUAGUAACGGCGAGUGAAGCGGGAAGAGCUCAAAUUUGAAAUCUUAAAGGGUUUCCCUUUACGAAUUGUAGUUUAAAGAAGUGUUUUCUGUUGAGGUUUUGGUAAAAGUUCUUUGGAAUAGGACAUCAUAGAGGGUGAGAAUCCCGUAUUUGACCUUUACUUUCAACUUUGUGAUACACUUUCAAAGAGUCGGAUUGUUUGGGAAUGCAGUCCAAAAUGGGUGGUAAAUUUCAUCUAAAGCUAAAUAUUGGCGAGAGACCGAUAGCGAACAAGUACCGUGAGGGAAAGAUGAAAAGAACUUUGAAAAGAGAGUUAAACAGUACGUGAAAUUGUCAAAGGGGAAGCGUUUGACACCAGUGUUGUUUUUCUGAAAAUCAAUUAAAGAACUGUUUAUGCUAAGCUGUUUAGACUUUAUCAGCUAUCUGUUUAGUUUUGAGCUUUUCUUUAAUGCACUUUUCAGUUAACAAGUCAACAUCAAUUUCUUUUGCUGUAAAAAAGCUUGAGGAAGGUGGCUUGAGAUUCGUCUUAAGUGUUUAUAGCCUCUUGCCUAUGCAGUCGGAGAGAUUGAGGUCUGCAGCGUAGAUCCUUCGGGGCUAAAUGCAUUUGUGCUAAGUUAUAGCAUUUUAUAGACAACUUGUUGACUAUGAUUUGUCUUGUAGCUUACUCGCUUAUGUUAUUUUACCUACGCUUAGGAUGUUGACUGCGCGUGUGUGCGUG
rnacentral:rRNA from 1 species